rnacentral:rRNA from 1 species
AGAGUUUGAUUCUGGCUCAGAACGAACGGUGGCGGCGUGGAUAAGACAUGCAAGUCGAACGAAAUUUUAUUUGUAGCAAUACAAGUAAAGUUCAGUGGCGCAAGGGUGCGUAACACGUGGGCAAUCUGCCCAGGGACGCGGGAUAGCUCGGCGAAAGUCGAAUUAAUACCGCAUAAGGCUAUUGGGGACAUCCCCGAGACGCUAAAGACGGCGCAAGCUGUCAUUCCUGGAUGAGCCCGCGGCCUAUCAGCUAGUUGGCGGGGUAACAGCCCACCAAGGCUAUGACGGGUAGCUGGUCUGAGAGGACGACCAGCCACACUGGAACUGAGACACGGUCCAGACACCUACGGGUGGCAGCAGUCGAGAAUUUUUCUCAAUGGGCGAAAGCCUGAAGGAGCGACGCCGCGUGGAGGAUGAAGGCCUUCGGGUCGUAAACUCCUGUCAUUUGGGAACAAAACUUCUGUUUAACUGACAGAAGCUUGAUAGUACUAGAAGAGGAAGAGACGGCUAACUCUGUGCCAGCAGCCGCGGUAAUACAGAGGUCUCAACCGUUGUUCGGAUUUAUUGGGCGUAAAGGGUGCGUAGGCGGUCGGGUAAGUCGGAUGUGAAAUCCCAGGGCUCAACCCUGGAACUGCAUUCGAUACUGCCUGGCUAGGGUACUGGAGAGGAGACUGGAAUUUACGGUGUAGCAGUGAAAUGCGUAGAUAUCGUAAGGAAGACCAGUGGCGAAGGCGAGUCUCUGGACAGUUACCGACGCUGAGGCACGAAGGUCAGGGGAGCAAACGGGAUUAGAUACCCCGGUAGUCCUGACAGUAAACGGUGUACGUUUGGUGUAGGCGGAUUCGACCCCGCCUGUGCCGGAGCUAACGCGUUAAACGUACCGCCUGGGAAGUACGGUCGCAAGAUUAAAACUCAAAGAAAUUGACGGGGGCCCGCACAAGCGGUGGGGUAUGUGGCUUAAUUCGAUACGACGCGAAGAACCUUACCAGGGUUUGACAUGCACUGUAACCCCGGUGAAAGCCGGGUAGCUGUAGCAAUACAGCGCUUUGCACAGGUGCUGCAUGGCUGUCGUCAGCUCGUGUCGUGAGAUGUUGGGUUAAGUCCCGCAACGAGCGCAACCCUUGCGUCCUGUUGCCACUCCCUUUUGGGAAGCACUCUGGACGGACUGCCCUGUGAAACGGGGAGGAAGGUGAGGAUGACGUCAAGUCAGCAUGGCCCCU